GGUUUACUUUUCAUUAUCGUUAUUGAAAAGUCGAAUUCUUCUAAACCCUUCACACGCACGCUAUUCCUCUCUUCUCCGAUCCACACGAUCACUCUUCCUCUUCCCCAAUCAAUCUAGGGUUUCAUCCAAAUUAUGAACUGCGAAGUUUGCCACCUCAAAGAACUCGAACUCGAACACUUUGAAAUUCGAGAAAUUCUCCGAUGUAUAUUGCACACCAUUAUUUUUCAUCGGGCGUUAGGUCUUGUGCGUCCAAAAGAUGUAGACUUGGAACUCUUUGAUGUUACCUAUGUGCAAUGUGGAGAGGUGGAGGUUGAAAACAAAAUAGAAGAGAAAAUUGAGCAGUUUAUUUGCUGGGUGGAGAAACAUCCAAACAAAAAGAGUCAGAUAUGCUUAUCUUUCUACGAGGUUAAAAACAAACAGGCGUCUUGGUUCAGUAACAGGAUUGAACGUUUGUAUUGGGAGCAAUGGUAUAUUAAUCUGAAUGUAGCCCAGCAUUUGAAAUCACAUUCUAGCAAAUCUCAUCAUUCUAAAUUUGUUGAUCCAGGAGAUGGAACAUUGGAGGAUAGAAAUGCUCGAAGUGCAGCACUUGAAGUAUCGCUUCGUGAGGUUUUAUUUCAAAUAAUUAAAUUCGUCAACGAGAAGAAGGAUCAUGUUCCGCCAAUACCAAAUCUAGAGGGUGCUAUUUCCUUUCCCUAUGAAAUUACAAUACCUAGAUAUAGGAUUCAAGGUGGAUGAACAAAUUGCUUGUGGUCAUGAUUUGCCUAUCAAACAUUAAGGAGAACUCUACGAAACUAUUAGUUCAUCGGAUUCUGCAUUUGGGAUGGACAUGAUCAAGAGAAUGCUUCAAACUGGGCAUCCAACAAUGCUAAGUUGAUCUUUAGAGUUUAUAGAACAAUUUAUGGGAUUAAAUGGAUUCUUGUUCUUAUGUUGAAGCUGGAAAUCUGGUGCUAAUGAAAGCUAGAGGAGAAGGCUAGGCAAUCUUUCUGUAAAUAAAAAAGAAUAUGUAAGAGCUAGAUGAGCCAUUUGUCUUUUCAAAUACUACUACUUUCUAAAUCUCAAUUUUCAUGAUAUAUUGUAUGUAUUUCAUUCGUCUUCUCUUCGGAGCUCAGAGUUCUGUAGAUAAGUCUGCUAGUUCCAAAUCAUUUACUUUAUAUUGUAUAUAUUUUGCUUGAGUUUGUGAACCCCCCCCCCACUUGUAUAAUUCUAAGCAACUACUUCAUGAA